rnacentral:rRNA from 1 species
CAAAAACAUCGCCUCUUGAUAAUAAAUACGAGAGGUUGGGCCUGCCCGGUGAAUAACUAUUUAAACGGCCGCAGUGGAUAACUGUGCUAAGGUAGCGUAAUAAAUUGUCUCUUAAUUGGAGAAGGGUAUGAAUGGUUUGACGUGGUAGUUUCUGUCUCAAUGGUAAUAUUAUGAAGUUUUCUUUUGAGUUAAAAGUCUCAAAUUUAGAUAAAAGACGAGAAGACCCUGUCGAGCUUAAUAAAAUUGUAAAGAGUUUUUAUAUAAUAAAUUUAACUGGGGCAGUUGAGAACCAAUAAAUAGUUCUUUGUUAUUUAAAGAUCCGGUUUUACCGAACAUAAGAAAAAGCUACCGCAGGGAUAACAGCGUUAUCCUCUCUGAGAGAACUAAUUGAAGAGGGGGUUUGCGACCUCGAUGUUGGAUUAAAGUUUCUUUUUGGUGCAGCAG